AUUGAACGCUGGCGGCAGGCCUAACACAUGCAAGUCGAACGAGUGGCGGACGGGUGAGUAAUGUCUGGGAAACUGCGUGAUGGAGGGGGAUAACUACUGGAAACGGUAGCUAAUACCGCAUACCAUCGGAUGUGCCCAGAUGUGAUUAGCUAGUAGGUGGGGUAAAGGCUCACCUAGGCGACGAUCCCUAGCUGGUCUGAGAGGAUGACCAGCCACACUGGAACUGAGACACGGUCCAGACGCCUACGGGAGGCAGCAGUGGGGAAUAUUGCACAAGGGGCGCAAGCCUGAUGCAGCCAUGCCGCGUGUAUGAAGAAGGCCUUCGGGUUGUAAAGUACUUUCAGCGGGGAGGCGUUACCCGCAGAAGAAGCACUUGCUAACUCCGUGCCAGCAGCCGCGGUAAUUC
rnacentral:rRNA from 1 species